GCGUUGGUUGUAUAGUGGUGAGCAUAGCUGCCUUCCAAGCAGUUGACCUAGGUAGCCAAUGCC
rnacentral:tRNA from 1 species